AUCGAACGCUGGCGGCGUGCCUAACACAUGCAAGUCGACGGAAGGGGCGUCCGGCAACCGGCGUAGACGGGCGAACGGGUGAGUAACACGUGGAGCGACCUAUCCGUGCGUGGGGGAUAGCCGGCCGAACGGCCGGGCUAAUACCGCAUGACGCUCCUGGGGUUGCAUACUCUGGAUAGCAAAGUCAGGGAUCGCAGGCCGGCGCUGGAGAGGGCCUCGCGGCCUGAUCAGCUAGGUUGGUGGGGUAACGGCUCACCAAGGCGACGAUCGGUAGCCUGGUCUGAGAGGAUGGACAGCCACACUUGGGACUGAGAGACGGCCCAGACUCCUACGGGAGGCAGCAGUGGGGAAUCUUGCGCAAUGGUCUAACGACUGACGCAGCGAACGCCGCGUGGAGGAUGACGCCCUUCGGGUGUAAACUCACUGUUGACCGGGACGAAUGGCAUGACCGAGACUGGUCUCGGCAGUGACGGUACCGGGUGAGGAAGCCACGGCUAACUCUGUGCCAGCAGCCGCGGUAAUACAGAGGUGGCAAGCGUUGUUCGGAAUUACUGGGCGUAAAGGGCGCGUAGGCGGCCUUCUAAGUCAGACGUGAAAUCCCCAGGCUUAACUUGGGAACUGCGUCUGAUACUGGAUGGCUUGAGUGCGGGAGAGGGAUGUGGAAUUCCAGGUGUAGCGGUGAAAUGCGUAGAUAUCUGGAGGAACACCGGUGGCGAAGGCGGCAUCCUGGGACCGACACUGACGCUGAGGCGCGAAAGCCAGUGGGAGCGAACGGGAUUAGAUACCCCGGUAGUCCCUGGCCCUAAACGAUUGUGUACUAGGUGUGAGGGGUAUCUAUCCCCUUCCGUGCCGAAGCUAACGCAUUAAGUACACCGCCUGGGGAGUACGGUCGCAAGGACUGAAACUCAAAGGAAUUGACGGGGGCCCGCACAAGCGGUGGAGCAUGUGGUUCAAUUCGACGCAACGCGAAGAACCUUACCCUGGCUCUGACAUGCCAGAGACAUCCUACGAAAGUCGGCUUCCCUCAGGGGACUUGGAUAGGUGCUUGCAUGGCUGUCGUCAGCUCGUGUCGUGAGAUGUUGGGUUAAGUCCCGCAACGAGCGCAACCCUCGUCUCUAGUUACCAUCAGGUUCAGGCCGGGCACUCUAGAGAGACUGCCGGUGAUAAGCCGGAGGAAGGUGGGGACUGACGUCAAGUCAGCAUGGCCCUUAUGUCCAUGGGCUACACACGUGCUACAAUGGCCGGAUACAAUGCGUCGCGAAUCUCGCAGAGGGGAGCCUAAUCUCAGAAAGUCCGUCUCAGUUCGGAUUGGAGUCUGCAACUCGCCGGCAUGAAGCUGGAAUCGCUAGUAAUCGCGGCAUCAGCCACUGCCGCGGUGAAUACGUUCCCGGGCCUUGUACACACCGCCCGUCACAUGACCCGAAGUCGGGCUGUACCUAGAAGUAGCCCGGCCCAACCGUAAGGGAGGGCAGGUCCCUAAGGUAUGGUCUGGUGAUGGGGAUG
rnacentral:rRNA from 1 species